CUCAGCUGCAUCUGAAUCCUUUGCGUGGUGCUGUGCCCCUAUCCCUUUCCCCUCGGGCCGUGGCAGCACGAUGCUCACUGCUCUGUGCUUUUGUGGUGUGACAGGCCUGGAGCAAACACGUGUUCUACUUGUGCUCACCACAGCAGACAAGUUUAUUUUCUGCAACAGUUGAAGUGCAGAAGAAUAAGAAACUCCUGAGUCGUAACACACUUUGUUCAUCAACCAACAAACGAUAUCUCAUCCUGACAUCCAGCCUCUUUCCCAGCCAGGAUCAUUGGGAAGCUGCUCUGGACCUGCCUCAGUCCAACCCUCUGAUAGCCACAUGCGCUACAAAAUUCUUUCUGCUGCAGAGGCCCACGUGAAACCAUGCAGACAGGCAAAUGGCAUCCCAGUUUCUCCUCAGCAACUGCUUCCUGGUUAACUCUAACCCUCAGGAAGCUGAU